rnacentral:tRNA from 1 species
GCGUCUUUAGUAUAGUGGUUAGUAUAUCAGUUUUCCAAACUGAUGGGGUGGUUUCGAAUACCACAAGGCGCUCCA